UUAUACUAAGGAUUCCAGCAGGAUGAUUUCUGUGGCUGAGAGACACCACAUUGCCUACAGACCCUGCUGCAUUUAACCAGUGGCAAAAUCAAGGGUUGCAGAGUGCACUCUUAAAAAUAUUGGAUCCAGCCUGUGACAGCCAGAGGAAAAACAGGAGCAGACAAUGAGGUCUGUGGUGUCAAGACAGGCAUGUAAAAGAAUGAGGGGAAGCAGAGAGAUCUCUGAGAUUUUCAGAGAGACUCGGUCAUCAGCUGAACUCUGGUUUUGAAGACGAAGACAUUUCACCAUUGCCCCAAAGUCCUACGUAAUUCACCCUGGUGGGAGGAACACUGGUGACAGGACCUGACUUCCGUAAGCUCUGGCCCCUGCUCGUGUAUUCAGCCUACUACUG
rnacentral:lncRNA from 1 species